GACGAACGCUGGCGGCGUGCUUAACACAUGCAAGUCGAACGGAAAGGCCCUGCUUUUGUGGGGUGCUCGAGUGGCGAACGGGUGAGUAACACGUGAGUAACCUGCCCUUGACUUUGGGAUAACUUCAGGAAACUGGGGCUAAUACCGGAUAGGAGCUCCUGCUGCAUGGUGGGGGUUGGAAAGUUUCGGCGGUUGGGGAUGGACUCGCGGCUUAUCAGCUUGUUGGUGGGGUAGUGGCUUACCAAGGCUGUGACGGGUAGCCGGCCUGAGAGGGUGACCGGCCACAUUGGGACUGAGGUACGGCCCAGACUCCUACGGGAGGCAGCAGUGGGGAAUAUUGCACAAUGGGCGGAAGCCUGAUGCAGCAACGCCGCGUGCGGGAUGACGGCCUUCGGGUUGUAAACCGCUUUCGCCUGUGACGAAGCGUGAGUGACGGUAAUGGGUAAAGAAGCACCGGCUAACUACGUG
rnacentral:rRNA from 1 species